GACGAACCGUACAAACGUUAUUCGGAAUUACUGGGCUUAAAGGGUUUGUAGGCGGCCUUGUAAGUCAGGUGUGAAAUCCCUCGGCUCAACCGAGGAAUGGCGCUUGAUACUGCACGGCUUGAGGGAGACAGGGGUAAGCGGAACUGAUGGUGGAGCGGUGAAAUGCGUUGAUAUCAUCAGGAACACCGGUGGCGAAAGCGGCUUACUGGGUCUCUUCUGACGGCUGAGGAACGAAAGCUAGGGGAGCGAACGGG
rnacentral:rRNA from 1 species